CCCACAUUGUCCAUAACAACUGACUGAGGUUCUUGUACCCAGGGCUCUAACCUGAAUUUUUUGCCUGACUUUCUGUCUUCCCUAAUCAUUUUAUAUUUGCUAAAGUGGGUCUUAAAGACUUGCUUGUUCCUUUCUUACUUUAAAUUCUCAACCUCCAAGAUUCCUUGUGCAUAGAUGCUGGGUUAUGCAUUCCUUUUUCCAAUUUUUAUUUUGUUUUUCUAAGUGAUGCUAUUUUACUAUCCUUCCAUGACAGGAUCCCAUCAGGCCUCUACUGCACAAAUAACAAGAAAAAAAAGAAAAGAAAAGAAAAGAAAGCAAACAAGUGUAAUUUGUAAAUCUAAUAUUCUUGCACAAGGAAUCCACUGGAUAUUGUAGGCAAUGGCCUUGUCAUCUUAGCCACUAGAAGACUCCAUCUAUCAGAAGCUGGCAAUUCUGAAUUUUGUACAGCAAGCCGUGAGUAUGGAAAUGCAAGUAAGAGUUGACAUUGCAGUUUUGAUUCCAAAUUCCAUAGCUAAGCAAGUUAGAAACUCAGGUAGUAUUUCUAUGUUGCAGUUUUGAGGCAGAUUCCUCUUCCUUCAGGAAACCUCAGUGUUUGCUCUUUAGACCUUCAGCUAAUUGGAUGUGACUCACCCACAUUAUGCAGGGUAUCUAGCUUAUUGCAGGUCUGCUGAUUAAAAAAAGUGCCUUCAUAGCAUCAAGACAUCUUGUUGUUAAUGAAACAACUAGAUAUCAUAACCUCGUCAAGUCGACACACACAAUAAACCUUCAAAGGAAUAUUUUAUUUAAUAACCU
rnacentral:lncRNA from 1 species